rnacentral:rRNA from 1 species
UACAGAGGGUGCGAGCGUUGUUCGGAAUUAUUGGGCGUAAAGGGCGCGUAGGCGGUGCCACAAGUCACUUGUGAAAUCUCCGGGCUUAACUCGGAGCCUGCAGGCGAAACUGUGGUGCUGGAGUGUGGGAGAGGUGCGUGGAAUUCCCGGUGUAGCGGUGGAAAUGCGUAGAUAUCAGGAGGAACACCGGUGGCGAAGGCGGCCCUCUGGACGGUGACUGACGCUGGAGACGCGAAAGCGUGGGGAGCAAACAGG